GAUGAACGCUGACAGAAUGCUUAACACAUGCAAGUCCACUUGAACUUCGGUUUGGGUGGCGGACGGGUGAGUAACGCGUAAAGAACUUGCCUCACAGCUAGGGACAACAUUUGGAAACGAAUGCUAAUACCUGAUAUUAUGAUUUUAGGGCAUCCUAGAAUUAUGAAAGCUAUAUGCGCUGUGAGAGAGCUUUGCGUCCCAUUAGCUAGUUGGAGAGGUAACGGCUCACCAAGGCGAUGUUGGGUAGCCGGCCUGAGAGGGUGAACGGCCACAAGGGGACUGAGACACGGCCCUUACUCCUACGGGAGGCAGCAGUGGGGAAUAUUGGACAAUGGACCAAGAGUCUGAUCCAGCAAUUCUGUGUGCACGAUGAAGUUUUUCGGAAUGUAAAGUGCUUUCAGUUGGGAAGAAAAAAAUGACGGUACCAACAGAAGAAGUGACGGCUAAAUACGUG
rnacentral:rRNA from 1 species